CUCUGUCCUGUAGUCCUCUACCUGCUCGUAAGUGCAGAACUCGGAGGUCACUUGGCGCAACACCAGCUCCCCUGAGUUGCUGGCAAACACCUGAAAAUGAGAACAAAUCACUCACCGCAUUGAGGGGCUGACGAGAUGCUAUCUGGGAAGAGGCAAUGUGGAGUGAGCUGAGGUUACCAUCCACCAGUCCACCGGCUUCUAUGGUCAGCACCGGGAAAAUAUCUCCAGCACUCAAAUCCCAAACGUGCAACCUGUGUCAAAAUGUUAGAGAAACUUAGUGUAUUGCCCAGAAUUCCACUUUCCCAAAUAUCCACACGACCUCUGUGUCACGAAACACAAGAAGUUAAUCCAGGCUCUGAAAGGGUUUCUGGUGCCGGGGAUGGAACCCAUGACUGGCCAGACGGGAAGCCACUCAUCUAACCAGUCAGCCAAAGAGGUACCCCACUCACACAGAGGUUGGGAGUCUUUUUGCAUCAGGCAGGUCACUAUGUUAGAAUGCAAAUUUACUUCACGACAUUGUAAGGAACUUAGUUUAAAACAUAUUUAAAGCAUUAUUUCUCUUGUAGCUGUUUAUAUUUAUUUUCCUUUUCCUUCAAGACAGUACUAGCUCUUGUCUUUACUCCCCAAGGUGGGCGUGGCUUGCACUGAAAUCUACAGAAAAACUGCUGACUAUUUCACAGGGGCUGGAGGAUGCCUGUAGUACACACUCCUUCUAAAGAACUUUUGGGACCAUGCAAGGAGAAAAAAGAAUCUCCCAAAAUAUGUCCUCUAACUGGUGUUAAUUAUGUGACAAGU